rnacentral:rRNA from 1 species
UACGUAGGGUGCGAGCGUUAAUCGGAAUCAUUGGGCGUAAAGGGCGUGUAGGCGGUUUGUUAAGUCAUGUGUGAAAUCCCUCGGCUCAACCGGGGAACGACGCAUGAAACUGGCAAGCUAGAGUACCAAAGAGGGGGGUGGAAUUCCCGGUGUAGCGGUGAAAUGCGUAGAUAUGGGGAGGAACACCGGUGGCGAAGGCGGCCACCUGGACGGUCACUGACGCUGAGACGCGAAAGCGUGGGUAGCAAACAGG